rnacentral:rRNA from 1 species
GACGAACGCUGGCGGCGUGCUUAACACAUGCAAGUCGAACGGAAAGGCCCUGCUUUUGUGGGGUGCUCGAGUGGCGAACGGGUGAGUAACACGUGAGUAACCUGCCCUUGACUUUGGGAUAACUUCAGGAAACUGGGGCUAAUACCGGAUAGGAGCUCCUGCUGCAUGGUUGGGGUUGGAAGGUUUCGGCGGUUGGGGAUGGACUCGCGGCUUAUCAGCUUGUUGGUGGGGUAGUGGCUUACCAAGGCUUUGACGGGUAGCCGGCCUGAGAGGGUGACCGGCCACAUUGGGACUGAGAUACGGCCCAGACUCCUACGGGAGGCAGCAGUGGGGAAUAUUGCACAAUGGGCGGAAGCCUGAUGCAGCAACGCCGAGUGCGGGAUGACGGCCUUCGGGUUGUAAACCGCUUUCGCCUGUGACGAAGCGUGAGUGACGGUAAUGGGUAAAGAAGCACCGGCUAACUACGUG